ACUUGUGUCUGCUCACCUGGACUGCAGACAAACACAAUGAAAAAUAUAUUUUUGGUUCUUUUGAGACAAUCAUACAACUACUAAUGAGCUCUACGGUAGCCAGGACGGACAAUGCACCCCUCAGCUUCUGAGACAUCUUCAGACAACAUCUCCACUGAACCAAGGGGCACCUCCGAGACUUGCUGUUGGCACAAACCCUGGCGAGAACACGAGUGGAGGAGGACAACCAGAGCCGUGCCGAGGAGGCAGAAAGCCCUCACAAGCCCGUUUCCUGGCUCGGGUAAUCCGCUACUUCCUUUUGCAACUGUUGUGCAGCUCCUGCUUGGCUCCAAGUGCCUCUGGGAAAUUAUCUUACCGAGAGAGAGCAGUGUGCUGGUGAACGGGGGUCGUGGGGGCCUCUGGAGGUGGUGAAACAUCGGCGAGGCUCUUCUCGUGUCUCUUUCUGGCUGCUCGCCCCUGAAAGGCGCCGUGGGAGCGAGUGGAGCCGGGGCGGAUGGAGAGAUUUGCGCUUUCUGCUCGGGGCAAUGAAGUGUCGAUCACUUACAGCGCAGCGCGGGGAG
ensembl:lncRNA